rnacentral:rRNA from 1 species
UGGCGAGUGGCGAACGGGUGAGUAAUAUAUCGGAACGUGCCCAAUCGUGGGGGAUAACGCAGCGAAAGCUGUGCUAAUACCGCAUACGAUCUGUGGAUGAAAGCGGGGGACUCGCAAGGGCCUCGCGCGGUUGGAGCGGCCGAUAUCAGAUUAGCUAGUUGGCGGGGUAAAAGCCCACCAAGGCGACGAUCUGUAGCUGGUCUGAGAGGACGACCAGCCACACUGGAACUGAGACACGGUCCAGACUCCUACGGGAGGCAGCAGUGGGGAAUUUUGGACAAUGGGCGCAAGCCUGAUCCAGCAAUGCCGCGUGCAGGAUGAAGGCCUUCGGGUUGUAAACUGCUUUUGUACGGAACGAAACGGUUCUUUCUAAUAAAGAGAGCUAAUGACGGUACCGUAAGAAUAAGCACCGGCUAAC